UCUAUCUGGACUCCAGUAAGGCCUUUGACACAGUACUCCACAACAUCUGUUCAAAGGAUGAGGAACUGGCUGCAGGACUAAGUCCAGAGGGUGGUGGUGAAUGGCUCAGUGUUUAGAUGGAGAUCAGUGACAAGUGAUGUUCCCCAGAGAAACAUAAAAGAAACUGAGAGCAAUAAAAUCAGAACCCGUGGCAUCCCUGGAAUGCAGGUAUACGCUCUGUUUCACCAAAAAGUCUUAAAGCACUGCGCAAUAAGCAGGAAACUGGGUGGAGACUGAACCCAACAACUAAAUAGGGGCUGCUAAAGCUUCAAGAAAACGAAAGCCUAUCAAGAUCACAAAAUGCUCUCACAUAGCUAGGUCCCAAAGGACUAGGGGAACAUUGGAGUAUUUCAGCAGUGUUCAUUCUGAUUUGAAAACAAAUUGGUCUGCCUCGCUUUCCUCCCCUUUUGUGGUUUUUUUUUUUCUUUUUUUGUGCAAUUAUUCUAGCUAAUGAGUUUACUGGCAGAAAUGUUCACAGAAACAGCAAGUUUUAGCAGCCAUUGGAGAUUAUUUGUGAAGAGUGAAUUUAAAAUUCUUAAUCAUAAGCAUUCACUGCAUAAAUGUGCUUCAAAGGCCUAGGCCCAUCCCAUCAGGGACUAGCACUACUCUAGGUAACCAGUGUGUGCAAUCAGAGCUCAUCAGUCAGAUCUGAUUUCAAAUAGUCACAAUAAAUAGAUCAUGGACAAGCUGUAAGUCAGAAAUUAUUCAUGGAAAUUAUUUGACAAAUGAUUUUGAAUGCUGAAUUAUUCAAGAAGAUCACACAAUGUUCACAGACAAUUCCCAGAGAGAAGGAAGGGUAACAUUUGUUUUGUAAGUCUGUGAUAGAUUCUUCAUCCAAAACUGCUCAAAACACCCUGGUGAAUAAAGUUAGCGUCAGUCUCAUACUGGCUAUCUAAAACAUGAACAUUUGAAGGGCCUCUUUUCAGAAGAAGAUGCUGAUUUGUGGGUUCUGUCUUUGCAAUUAGCCAAGCAAACACCCUCCAGCAGUGUUUCCAGGAGAAAGACGAACAUGGGUCUUCGUAGGGCACAAGCUGGAGCUAACAGCAGCAGUAUCUCUGCAAACAAUUCACAGCAUUGAACAACUUUCCAGUGACCCAGAAUCACUUCUACUAUUUGGACAUAGAGACUAUUUUUACAAGGCUGGAAAGGUUAUUCUGCUCACUGCCCAGUCACAUUGUGCCCACAUGUUACCAUUCCUUCUGAGAGAGCAAAGAAAGACCCAGCUUCCCUACACACCAUUUCACUAUUAAUAUGCAUGCACUUCUUUGGCUGCUGUUCUUCCUAAGCAGCACUAUGUUUUUGUUUUUGGGAAAAAAAAAAUAAUUAAAAAAAACCCUGCCCAGCUAAUACAGUGGAGCACUCAUGGAAGCAGACUCCAUGUAAGGAUAUGGGUUUAAACACCCCUACUGGCUGUCAAGAAUGCUAUAUCAAAUGAGUUACAUGUGAUGAUCACUGCCAUUUUAUGUCUAUUGUCACGUUACUUCCAAAAGGUAUCAUCAUGCUUAGCAUCUCACUGUGACUUGUACCAUCAUCUUCAAACAUCACCCACCCAGAGCCUGCCUCUGCACCUGAAGACUUGGGUAUAGCACUGAGAAAAGUGCAGGGUUCAAAAAACAGGUUGUGAAAAUACAGGGGGGAAAAAAAAGAACAAGAACUGCUUGUUUAGUCUAGGAAAACCUGAGGUAUGACAUGAUAACAGUCUCUCAUUAUGUAAAAUGUAGCAAAGACGAUGGUGAUCAAUUGUUCUCUGUGUCUGCUGAGGAUAGAACAGGAGGUAAUUAAUUUAAUUUGCAACAGAACAGAAUUAGAUAAGAUAUUCAAAAGAAAUUUCUAUCUGCAAGAAUAAGAACCAGAAGUUCACUACCUCGGGCUGUUAUACAAUCUCUCUGCCAGGAGAUUUUUUUUUAAAGGUUAGAAAAACUUCUGUCAGAAAUGGCCCAAGCAGCUUAAUGCCCCUGGAGCUACAGGACGGACUAGAAAACUUAUGGAGAGCACAGCGCUCUCCUGAUUUCAGCUCUGCUCUCAUGAAAGUUUCAACCAUCCACGAGACCCACAAGUACCCCAAACUGUGCCCUCCCUGAAACAUAGGCAGUACUCCAGGGGGAAUUUCCAGAUGCAAUGCAAUGGGUCACCUUGCCACCUAAGAAGCAGCGCCUACCGCAGAAUUUGAAAAUGAAUUAUAUUUCUCUACAGGAUACUUUACAUUUUGCAUGAUUCGAAAUAAAAGGACAUUUUACA